AUAUUCACUGCAAUGGGUUGCGGCGUUAUGGCCACAAUCACCUCAGACUCAAACGGCUCUACCAUUUCAGCCGGUUGCAGGCCUGAAUGUGACAACUUUUCGACAAAUGAGAAAAGAAGGGUGUUGAUUUCUGCCAGACCCCCAUCCCUUGGUUUCUCUCUGCCUUCAAUACUAGUUUCCAGGUUCAUGAUUCGACAAGUAGUUCAUGCAAUUAUGCAUUUUUGGUAGAACAGGGCUGGUUCAAGUGGUUUGCCAGAAAUUCAAUAAAUAAUUUUUCUGCCAUCCAUCAUAUGGAACAUGUUCCUGUGAUGCUACAAUGGAGCUUAUACCAUUCGACGAUCGAUGUAUUUGGAGCCGUUGUAGAAGUAAAUCCCAUAGUCGUAGAUUCUGAGUCCUCCUUUUAUUGCAGAAGUUAUGGUGGCAGAUCUUCAAUAUAUAAAUCCUCAAGCAGGCUUGAAUGUUCCUGCAAUGCGGGCUAUGAGGGAAAUCCAUAUCUUCUACAGGGAUGUCAAGACGAAAAUGAGUGCGAGAUUGGGAACUCUUGUUCUGCAGACACCGUAUGCAAGAAUCAUGUUGGGUA